CCUUCGGGUUGUAAACCUCUUUUCUCGAGGAAGAAUUCUGACGGUACUCGAGGAAUAAGCCUCGGCUAACUACGUGCCAGCAGCCGCGGUAAUACGUAGGAGGCGAACGUUAUUCGGAUUUACUGGGCGUAAAGGGAGCGUAGGCGGCUCCUCAAGUCAGGUGUGAAAUCUUUUGACUCAAUCAGAAGGCGUCAUCUGAUACUAAGGGGCUUGAGGGCAGCAGAAGGAAAUGGAAUCCUCAGUGUAGCGGUGAAAUGCGUAGAUAUUGGGGAGAACACCAGUGGCGAAGGCGAUUUCCUAGGCUGUUUCUGACGCUGAGACUCGAAAGCGUGGGGAGCGAAGCGGAUUAGAUACCCGCGUAGUCCACGCCCUAAACGGUGGACACUAGAUAUAGGAGGUAUCGACCCUUUCUGUGUCGAAGCUAACGCUUUAAGUGUCCCGCCUGGGGAGUACGGCCGCAAGGCUAAAACUCAAAGGAAUUGACGGGGGCCCGCACAAGCAGCGGAGCGUGUGGUUUAAUUCGAUGCUACGCGAAGAACCUUACCAGGGCUU
rnacentral:rRNA from 1 species